AACGAACGCUGGCGGCAUGCCUAACACAUGCAAGUCGAACGAGACCUUCGGGUCUAGUGGCGCAAGGGUGCGUAACGCGUGGGAACCUGCCCUUAGGUUCGGAAUAACUCCCCGAAAGGGGUGCUAAUACCGGAUAAUGUCUUCGGACCAAAGAUUUAUCGCCUUUGGAUGGGCCCGCGUUGGAUUAGCUAGUUGGUAGGGUAAAAGCCUACCAAGGCGACGAUCCAUAGCUGGUCUGAGAGGAUGAUCAGCCACUCUGGGACUGAGACACGGCCCAGACUCCUACGGGAGGCAGCAGUGGGGAAUAUUGGACAAUGGGCGAAAGCCUGAUCCAGCAAUGCCGCGUGAGUGAUGAAGGCCUUAGGGUUGUAAAGCUCUUUUACCCGGGAUGAUAAUGACAGUACCGGGAGAAUAAGCUCCGGCUAACUCCGUG
rnacentral:rRNA from 1 species